rnacentral:rRNA from 1 species
UACGUAGGCAGCAAGCGUUGUUCGGAAUUACUGGGCGUAAAGAGUGUGUAGGCGGUGCUCCAAGUCUGGUGUGAAAUCUCCCGGCUUAACUGGGAGGGUGCAUUAGAAACUGGAAUGCUAGAGGAUGGGAGAGGUAAGCGGAAUUCCUGGUGUAGCGGUGAAAUCCGUAGAGAUUAGGAGGAAUAUCGAUGGCGAAGGCAGCUUUCUGGGACAUUUCUGACGCUGAGAAACGAAAGCGUGGGUAGCAAACAGG